GGGCGUAUGGUGUAGUGGUAUCACUCAUGCUUUGCACCUUUACGUAAUCAUCUUGCGUAAUACUCUUGUAUGCGGUCCAGGGUUCAAACCCCUGUGCGUCCA